CUCACAUGAAGAGAGUGAAGUGAGGAGUUUGCUGCAAUGUCUGCCUUAUAUCUCACAGCUCAGUUCUGUGCCUGACUUACCAGAACCUUCAGAAGAAACCAGGUUCUUUAGAAAUCUGUUCUGUGCAGCAGCAGAGAGUGAAAUGCAGAAAGGAGAGACAAUACUGGAGCUGUUAUCAGUGUGCAGAUAUAAAGCAUUUCCUCUGAAACAAAAUUGGGGCAAUUUCCUAAUGGAUCUGUACUCAUAUCAGACUGAAGUAGAAUUUAGUCUUCUUCCAUUAUUACAGUCAGUAUUUUCAGCUCCUGCCUUCUGGUCCAUAAACCUCUCAGAGAGAAAGACCUCCAUCCUCCUGGAAGUGCUGAAACUCCAAUCAGAGAAGAAACGAGUGGAGCUGACAGGCUGCUCACAUGAAGAGAGUGAAGUGAGGAGUUUGCUGCAGUGUCUGCCUUAUAUCUCACAGCUCAGUAUUUAUCCUCGGAAGUCAGAUCUUACUGAUCAAAUCCGGUUCUUUGUGAAUCUGUUCUGUGCGGCAGCAGAGAGAGAACAGCAGACAGGAGAGAAGAUACUGGAGCUGGUAGCAUCAGUGUGCACAUAUCAAACAUUCCCUUACAAUGUCAUGUACAUGAAUAAUAAUAAGAAGAACAGUGAGUGUAAUUUCCUGCUGGAUCUGUACUCCCAUGUGAAGGACUAUCAGACUAAAACAGGUCUGAGUGUCCUUCCAUCAUUACAGUCAGUUUUCCAGUCAGCUCCUGCAGUCUGGUCCAUAAAGCUCUCAGAGAGAAAGACCUCCAUCCUCCUGGAAGUGUUGAAACUCCAACCAGAGAAGAA